rnacentral:misc_RNA from 1 species
GAUGAAGAACGCAGCGAAAUGCGAUAUGUAAUGUGAAUUGCAGAAUUCAGUGAAUCAUCGAAUCUUUGAACGCACAUUGCGCCCCCUGGUAUUCCGGGGGGCAUGCCUGUUCGAGCGUCAUUACAACCCUCAAGCUCUGCUUGGUAUUGGGCCCCGCCAGUUCUGGCGGGCCCUAAAGUCAGUGGCGGUGCCUUCCGGCUCCGAGCGUAGUAAUUCUUCUCGCUCUGGAGACCCGGUUGUGUGCUUGCCAACUACCCCCAAUUUUUUAAGGUUGACCUCGGAUCAGGUAGGGAUACCCGCUGAACUUAAGCAUAUCAAUAAGCGGAGGA